CAAACCCCAGAGACAGUCAGUGGCUGAGAGCUCCUCCAGGAAGCAGUUGUUAAUCAACUUAGAUCGCUGGAAAUAACUAUCACUUUGGCAUCCUGGGCAAUUUUCCCUCUUAGCAAACUAGCUCUCUGGUUGAAGGUGACAUUGAGUAAAGCCUGUGUGACAGAGCAAAGCCAGCGUGCAGGAGUUUCCUACAGAGCCUAUGUAGAAAACCAAGGCACCACAGCCCAGGAAGGCCAGUGGAGCCAGCGCUGAUGGCUUCACCUGCCUCACACACUCACCUUCGUCCCGCCACUGUGCCAAAGCCUGCCUGCCUACUGGGGGCCAGUGGUGACUCCUCACCAGACGUGACUGCCUCAGUAUAAAGUUUGUGUGUGCAGGAGCUGGAGAAGAAGCAAGACCACCUGGGGCUGACAUCACGGGGGACCGGCAGUGUACAGCAACAGAAGGGGCCAGCACAGACAACUCCACCCUGGCCAGAACCGCGGUCACACAGAGACCUUGCCAUACAUGGUCAUAAAAACUGCUGCCUCUGAUCAUCAAAACAACUGGACACAACAACACCCACAAUAGCCUGCUUGUCUGUCCCAAACCCCUUCAUUGCCUUGUUCAGAUAAAACCCGGUGGUCAUCAGAUUCAUCAGAAGCCCCAAGCAUGAUGGUUGCAAGUGACAAGCGAAGAUGACAGAAAGCUCCUUCUGGCCAUUGUUAGCCAGUGAGAAACGUUCUUUUCUUUUUUGUUUUUUAAAUCGAGUGCAUCCUUCCAAGCAAUGGCGCCUAUGUGCGGUACGGGCAAGCAUCACCUCCCCAGAGCAGCUUCUUACUAAGGACUGUGUGCAGGGCUAUGCUUGUUUUGCACACGCUGUAACUGCCUUCAAU
rnacentral:lncRNA from 1 species